GGCUUCUUGAUGUCUAUGGGAGGUUUGGCCUGCCCGGUGAUUUUUUAACGGCCGCGGUAUUCUGACCGUGCAAAGGUAGCAUAAUCAUUAGUCUUUUAAUAGGAGGCUGGUAUGAAAGGCUUGACGAGGUAAUAACUGUCUCAUUUGAAUAGGUUUAAAAUUUAACUUUUAAGUUAAAAGGCUUAAAUGUUGUUGGAAGACGAGAAGACCCUAUAGAGCUUUAUAUUUAUGCCUUUGAUUUUUAUUAGUUUAUAAGUAUAAAUUACUUUUUAUAAUUAUUUUGUUGGGGUGACAAAAAUAUUUAAUUAACUUUUAUAUUUAUUACACAUUAAUUUAUGGGUUUUAGAUCCAUUAUUAUUGAUCAUUAGAAUAAGUUACCUUAGGGAUAACAGCGUAAUCCUCUUUUGGAGUUCAAAUUUACAAGGGGGCUUGCGACCUCGAUGUUGGAUUAAGAUAAUAGUUAGGUGUAGCAGCUUAAUUUGUAGGUCUGUUCGACCUUUAAAUUCUUACAUGAUCUGAGUUCAAACCGG
rnacentral:rRNA from 1 species